rnacentral:rRNA from 1 species
AGAGUUUGAUCAUGGCUCAGGAUGAACGCUGGCGGUAUGCUUAACACAUGCAAGUCGAACGGAGUAGCAAUACUUAGUGGCGGACGGGUGAGUAACGCGUAAGAAUCUAGCUUCAGGUUCGGGACAACAGUUGGAAACGACUGCUAAUACCGGAUGUGCCUACGGGUGAAAGGCUUGCUGCCUGGAGAAGAGCUUGCGUCCGAUUAGCUAGUUGGUGAGGUAAAGGCUUACCAAGGCGUCGAUCGGUAGCUGGUCUGAGAGGAUGACCAGCCACACUGGGACUGAGACAAGGCCCAGACUCCUACGGGAGGCAGCAGUGGGGAAUUUUCCGCAAUGGGCGAAAGCCUGACGGAGCAAUACCGCGUGAGGGAAGAAGGCUCUUGGGUUGUAAACCUCUUUUCUCAGGGAAUAAAAAAAUGAAGGUACCUGAGGAAUAAGCAUCGGCUAACUCCGUGCCAGCAGCCGCGGUAAUACGGAGGAUGCAAGCGUUAUCCGGAAUGAUUGGGCGUAAAGCGUCCGCAGGUGGUACAACAAGUCUAGUGUCAAAGACCGGGGCUCA